CCGAUGGCGAAGGCAGGUCUCUGGGCAUUUACUGACGCUGAGGAGCGAAAGCAUGGGGAGCGAACAGGAUUAGAUACCCUGGUAGUCCAUGCCGUAAACGUUGGGCACUAGGUGUGGGGGACAUUCCACGUUUUCCGCGCCGUAGCUAACGCAUUAAGUGCCCCGCCUGGGGAGUACGGCCGCAAGGCUAAAACUCAAAGGAAUUGACGGGGGCCCGCACAAGCGGCGGAGCAUGCGGAUUAAUUCGAUGCAACGCGAAGAACCUUACCAAGGCUUGACAUGUUCCAGACCGGGCUAGAGAUAGUCCUUCCCUUCGGGGCUGGUUCACAGGUGGUGCAUGGUUGUCGUCAGCUCGUGUCGUGAGAUGUUGGGUUAAGUCCCGCAACGAGCGCAACCCUCGUUCCAUGUUGCCAGCACGUAGUGGUGGGGACUCAUGGGAGACUGCCGGGGUCAACUCGGAGGAAGGUGGGGAUGACGUCAAAUCAUCAUGCCCCUUAUGUCUUGGGCUUCACGCAUGCUACAAUGGCCGGUACAAUGGGUUGCGAUACUGUGAGGUGGAGCUAAUCCCUAAAAGCCGGUCUCAGUUCGGAUUGGGGUCUGCAACUCGACCCCAUGAAGUCGGAGUC
rnacentral:rRNA from 1 species